CCUGCCUAUAGAAGCAUUGAAAGUGACAGGUGGCAGAGAGGAGCAAGGCUAUGUCUAUGUUCAGUGUUCUAACCUGUGAACAUCUGAGUGAUUAGCAGCCAAACACU
ensembl:snoRNA LOC120096824 small nucleolar RNA SNORA17